GAAGAAAAACAAACCUUGAUGUUACUCAGCAGCUUCCUCAGUCAGUUGAUGAUGGAGUCUCUGCUGGUCUGGGUGAUCCUGCUCGCUCUCAGUGGCUUACAGAACCAUGCAGCUGUCGAUCCAUCAUCGACCAUCCAGGUGAGGCUUGGAGAGAACGCCACCCUGCAGUGCCCUCUGCUGGACACCUCCAAUUUCACCGUGCUCACCACCACUACUGCCCCGACCGCUCCCACCACCCUCAGCUGGUACAGAAAAGCACCAGGACAGGGACCACAGCUUCUUGUCUCCCUCAAGUCUAUGGAUAGACUCAAAGUGAAAUACGGCAACGGUGUUCCCCGCAGUAAAGUCUCUAUAGCGGCCGAUGGCUCACUGGUGGUGCAAGGUUCCAAGCAGAGCGACUCGGCGGUUUAUUACUGUGGAAUCAGCCGGGGAGAUGACCGGAAGAAGGAACCAAGGCUACGGACCCGCAGAAGGAAAUAAUGUCAGGAGUGAAGAUCGGCCAGUUGGUCAUGAAUUAGUUGGCUUUACUUAGCUGCUUGUUCAGACUGUUUCUCGGCUGUUCUUAAGUUUCCCUCAUUUGUUAAGCUUCAUCUUUGAACAUCAUACUCCAGAAAAAUACCUGUACCCCAUCUCACAGUUUGAUAAAUGUGGCUGAGCUUUGCUUUUUUGUUCAGUGACUGAAAACAAUGAGCUUACAUGUACAACUGCAAUUUUUUGAGAUUUUUAAUUAAGUUGUGUUUGAAUUAACAGUGAUUUAAAGGCUGUGCUUUUCCCUGCUCCAUGCUCUCUCACAGUCCGGCCAAAUGAAGCUGUUGCUGUAAAGGUAUUUGGUUUUGUGGCACUACUUUUUCUUUCCCCCACCAUUUCUGCUGGCAGAUUUAUUGCUAGAUUAUAGCAUCAGCAAAGCUAAAAAUGCAUAAAUAAAAAUUGCAUUUCUUGUACACUGCAGUACCUUUUCUUUGAUUCUGUUUUUGCCAAAUAUAGGAAACACACUUGUUCACCCAGCAAGAAUGGUUGCUUCCUGUCGAUACCUUCCGCAAUAAAAACUGUUGAUCCAAAUAUACGUUUAA